rnacentral:rRNA from 1 species
AUUGAACGCUGGCGGCAUGCCUUACACAUGCAAGUCGAACGGCAGCACGGGAGCAAUCCUGGUGGCGAGUGGCGAACGGGUGAGUAAAGUAUCGGAACGUGCCCAGUCGUGGGGGAUAACGUAGCGAAAGUUACGCUAAUACCGCAUACGAUCUAUGGAUGAAAGCGGGGGAUCGCAAGACCUCGCGCGAUUGGAGCGGCCGAUAUCAGAUUAGGUAGUUGGUGGGGUAAAGGCUCACCAAGCCGACGAUCUGUAGCUGGUCUGAGAGGACGACCAGCCACACUGGGACUGAGACACGGCCCAGACUCCGACGGGAGGCAGCAGUGGGGAAUUUUGGACCAUGGGCGAAAGCCUGAUCCAGCCAUGCCGCGUGCAGGAUGAGGGCCUUCGGGUUGUAAACUGCUUUUGUACGGAACGAAAAGGUUUGGCCUAAUAAGUUGAGCUCAUGACGGUACCGUAAGAAUAAGCACCGGCUAACUACGUGCCAGCAGCCGCGGUAA